rnacentral:rRNA from 1 species
AUGAUUCCAGGACCUGGAAUCAUACCAGCCGAUGGGUUUCAAUACCAUAUAAUUGGAAUUAACCCAUGCAAGUCAAAGAAGGAUUGGCCGGUGCUGCCAGCUGGCGUGAAGUUCGAUCCCACGGAUCAGGAGCUGAUCGAGCACCUUGAGGCCAAAGUGAGUGCUGACAGCGCGAGAUCUCACCCUCUCAUCGAUUUGUUCAUACCAACCAUCGACAGCGAGCACGGCAUAUGCUACACCCAUCCUGAGAAACUUCCAGGUAUCACACUGAGUGGCCUAAGCAAGCAUUUCUUCCAGCGCAAUUCCAGGGCGUUCAAAAGGGGCACGUGGACGUGUCGCAAGAUACAGUCGGAGUGCAGCAUGCACGCGAUGUGGCACAACACCGGCAAUACCUUGCCGGUGAUAGUCAACGGCCAGCAGACGGGUAGCAAAAAGGUUCUGGUGCUGCACACCAACAAGAACUUCGACUAG